GCCCGAGUGGCGGAAUGGUAGACGCAGGGGAUUCAAAAUCCCCCGCUAGCGAUAGCGUGCCGGUUCGAGUCCGGCCUCGGGUACCA
rnacentral:tRNA from 1 species